GAUGAACGCUGGCGGCGUGCCUAAUACAUGCAAGUCGAGCGAACAGAUAAGGAGCUUACUCCUUUGACGUUAGCGGCGGACGGGUGAGUAACACGUGGGUAACCUACCUAUAAGACUGGGAUAACUUCGGGAAACCGGAGCUAAUACCGGAUAAUAUUUCGAACCGCAUGGUUCGAUAGUGAAAGAUGGUUUUGCUAUCACUUAUAGAUGGACCCGCGCCGUAUUAGCUAGUUGGUAAGGUAACGGCUUACCAAGGCGACGAUACGUAGCCGACCUGAGAGGGUGAUCGGCCACACUGGAACUGAGACACGGUCCAGACUCCUACGGGAGGCAGCAGUAGGGAAUCUUCCGCAAAGGGCGAAAGCCUGACGGAGCAACGCCGCGUGAGUGAUGAAGGUCUUCGGAUCGUAAAACUCUGUUAUUAGGGAAGAACAUACGUGUAAGUAACUGUGCACGUCUUGACGGUACCUAAUCAGAAAGCCACGGCUAACUACGUG
rnacentral:rRNA from 1 species